rnacentral:rRNA from 1 species
UGAGGAACAUGACCUUCGGCGGGGGAUAGCCGGCCCAACGGCCGGGUAAUACCGCGUACGACCUUUCGGGGACAUCCCUGAAAGGUGAAAGCAGCAAUGCGCCGAUGGAGUGCCUCGCGGCCUAUCAGCUAGUUGGUGAGGUAACGGCUCACCAAGGCGACGACGGGUANCUGGUCUGAGAGGAUGGCCAGCCACAGUUGGGACUGAGACACGGCCAGACUCC